rnacentral:rRNA from 1 species
ACGGGGGGUGCGAGCGUUGUUCGGAAUUAUUGGGCGUAAAGAGCGUGUAGGCGGCUGAAUAAGUCAGAUGUGAAAUCCCUGGGCUCAACACAGGACGUGCAUUUGAAACUAUUAGGCUAGAGUAGAGGAGAGGAAAGUGGAAUUCCUGGUGUAGCUGUGAAAUUCGUAGAUAUCAGGAGGAACACCAGUGGCGAAGGCGACUUUCUGGACUUAAACUGACACUGAGACAUGAGAGCGUGUGGAGCAAAAAG